rnacentral:rRNA from 1 species
CGUAGGGAGCAAGCGUUGUCCGGAAUCAUUGGGCGUAAAGCGCGCGUAGGCGGCCCGAUAAGUCCGCUGUGAAAGUCAACGGCUCAACUGUUGGAUGCCGGUGGAUACUGUCGGGCUAGAGUACGGAAGAGGCAAGUGGAAUUCCUGGUGUAGCGGUGGAAUGCGCAGAUAUCAGGAGGAACACCUAUAGCGAAGGCAGCUUGCUGGGACGUUACUGACGCUAAGGCGCGAAAGCGUGGGGAGCGAACAGGAUUAGAUACCCUGGUAGUCCACGCCGUAAACGAUGAGAACUAGGUGUGGGAGGUGUCGACUCCUCCCGUGCCGUCGCUAACGCAUUAAGUUCUCCGCCUGGGGAGUACGGCCGCAAGGCUA